rfam:Medicago truncatula strain A17 chromosome 8, whole genome shotgun sequence.
AAACAGCCCCUAUGUAUUGGAUCUUUGGCAGUUUUGGCCCCCAAGGCCACUUUUGACUUAGUCACAAUGGUUGACACGUGGCACCUCACUUAAGGGAUGUGAGUGCCACGUACUAAGUCAAAAGUGGCCUUGGGGGCCAAAACUGCCAAAGAUCCAAUACAUAGGGGGCUGUUU